AUACUCACUUCAGUAGUAUGUACACUAAAACUGGAAUGAAACAGAGGCGAUUAGUAUGGCCCUUGAGGGAGGACAUUAUGCCAUCAUUUUUGUUACAAGGUUAA
rnacentral:snRNA from 1 species